GGCUCAGAUUGAACGCUGGCGGCAGGCCUAACACAUGCAAGUCGAGCGGUAGAGAGAAGCUUGCUUCUCUUGAGAGCGGCGGACGGGUGAGUAAUGCCUAGGAAUCUGCCUGGUAGUGGGGGAUAACGUUCGGAAACGGACGCUAAUACCGCAUACGUCCUACGGGAGAAAGCAGGGGACCUUCGGGCCUUGCGCUAUCAGAUGAGCCUAGGUCGGAUUAGCUAGUUGGUGGGGUAAUGGCUCACCAAGGCGACGAUCCGUAACUGGUCUGAGAGGAUGAUCAGUCACACUGGAACUGAGACACGGUCCAGACUCCUACGGGAGGCAGCAGUGGGGAAUAUUGGACAAUGGGCGAAAGCCUGAUCCAGCCAUGCCGCGUGUGUGAAGAAGGUCUUCGGAUUGUAAAGCACUUUAAGUUGGGAGGAAGGGUUGUAGAUUAAUACUCUGCAAUUUUGACGUUACCGACAGAAUAAGCACCGGCUAACUCUGUGCCAGCAGCC
rnacentral:rRNA from 1 species